CAUGCAAGUCGAGCGGCAGCGCGAGUAGUUUACUACUUGGCGGCGAGCGGCGGACGGCUGAGUAACGCGUAAGAACACACCCCAAAGUGAGGAAUAACUGCCCGAAAGGGUAGCUAAUGCCGCAUAUGAUCUUCGGAUUAAAGGAUUUAUCCGCUUUGGGAGUGGCUUGCGUCCGAUUAGGUAGUUGGUGAGGUAAAGGCUCACCAAGCCUACGAUCGGUAACUGGUUUGAGAGGAUGACCAGUCAGACUGGAACUGAGACACGGUCCAGACUCCUACGGGAGGCAGCAGUGAGGAAUCUUCCACAAUGGACGAAAGUCUGAUGGAGCAACUCCGCGUGCAGGAUGAAGGCCUUCGGGUUGUAAACUGCUUUUAUGAGUGAAGAAUAUGACGGUAACUCAUGAAUAAGGGUCGGCUAACUACGUGCCAGCAGCCGCGGUCAUACGUAGGACCCAAGCGUUAUCCGGAGUGACUGGGCGUAAAGAGUUGCGUAGGUGGUUUGUUAAGCGAAUAGUGAAAUCUGACGGCUCAACCGUUCAGACUGUUAUUCGAACUGGCAAACUCGAGAAUGGUAGAGGUAACUGGAAUUUCUGAAGUAGGGGUAAUAUCCGUAGAUAUCAGAAGGAACACCAAUGGCGUAGGCAGGUUACUGGACCAUUUCUGACACUGAGGCACGAAAGCGUGGGGAGCGAACCGGAUUAGAUACCCGGGUAGUCCACGCCGUAAACGAUGGAUACUAGCUGUUGGAGGUAUCGACCCCUUCAGUAGCGAAGCUAACGCGUUAAGUAUCCCGCCUGUGGAGUACGGUCGCAAGACUAAAACAUAAAGGAAUUGACGGGGACCCGCACAAGCGGUGGAUUAUGUUCUUUAAUUCGAUGAUAAACGAAGAACCUUACCAGGGCUUGACAUCCUUGGAAUUACUACGAAAGUAGUGAGUGCUUUAUUGAGCCAAGUGACAGGUGUUGCAUGGCCGUCGUCAGCUCGUGUCGUGAGAUGUUUGGUUAAGUCCAUUAACGAGCGCAACCCUUGUGAUUAGUUGUAUUUUUCUAAUCAGACUGCCCCGGCAACGGGGAGGAAGGAGGGGAUGAUGUCAGGUCAGUAUUACCCUUACGCCCUGGGCUAGAAACGUAAUACAAUGGCUGGUACAAUGCGCUGCGAAGCCGCGAGGUGAAGCAAAUCGCAUCAAAGCCAGUCCCAGUUCGGAUAAGAGGCUGAAACUCGCCUCUUUGAAGUCGGAAUCGCUAGUAAUCGCAGGUCAGCAAACUGCGGUGAAUACGUUCCCGGGUCUUGUACAGCACCGCCCGUCAAACCAUGAAAGUCACCAACACCCGAAGUCGCGAUUCGUCGGCCUAAGGUGGGG
rnacentral:rRNA from 1 species